rnacentral:rRNA from 1 species
CUUGAAACUGAGAAUACGUUCCCAAGGCUUCUUCGGAAGGCAGGCAUGGGAAAUUUGGACCAAUGGGCGCAGCCUUGAUCCAAGCCAAUGCCGGCUGCAUAGAUAGAAAGUCCUUCGGGUUUGUUAAAUAUCUUCAGACGGAAGGACAAGGCUUGUGAUUACUAUCCACCGCAUCUCACCGUCACCUCGUAAGAUAAGCACCGGCUACUUCGUGCCAGCAGCCGCGUAAUACGUAGGGGCAAGCGUUAUCGGAAUUACUGGGCGUAAAGCGCACGCAGGCGGUCUUGUAAGUCAGAUGUGAAAUCCCCGGGCUCACCUGGGAACUGCCUUCGAGACUGGCAAGGCUAGAGUGUGCAGAGGGGGAUAGAAUUCCGGGUGUAGCGGUGAAAUGCGUAGAUAUGCGGAGGAACACCGCUGGCGAAGGCACUCCCCUGGACAAUGCACUGACGCUCAGGCGAGAAAGGGUGGGAGCAAACAAGGAUUAGAUACCCUGGUAGUCCCACGCCCUAAAACGAUGUUGAAUUGGAGGUUGUGUCCUAGAGGCCUGGGUUCCGAAGCUAACGCGUGAAGUCGACCGCCUGGGGAGUACGGCCGCAAGGUUAAAACUCAAAGGAAUUGACGGGGGCCCGCACAAGCGGUGGAGCAUGUGGUUUAAUUCGAUGCAACGCGAAAAACCUUACCCGCUUUUGACAUCCCCAGAACUUUCCAGAGAUGGUUUGGUGCUUUAAAGAGAAGUGACACACAGGUGGCACGUGGGUGUUCACAUCUUGUUUUGAAAGAUGGGGGUAUAUCUCGCACCGAGCGCACCCCCCUUCCCUUUAGGCCAUACAUUCGGCCGGGCACUCAAAGGAGACUGCCAGUGACAAACCGGAGGAAGGUGGGGAUGACGUCAAGUCAUCAUGGCCCUUAUGGCCGGGGCUACACACCUCAUACAAUGGCGCUACAAAGGGAAGCAACCUCGCGAGAGCAAGCGGUCCUCUAAAACUGCGUGUAGUCGGAUCGCAGUCUGCAAUCGACUCCAUGAAGUCGGAUCGCUUGUAAUCGUAGAUCAGAAUUCACGGGGAAAUACUUUCCCGGUCUUUGUCCCCACCCCCCUUCCCACCAGGGGACGGGGCUGCACAGAAGUUAGGAAGCUAACCGCAAGGAGACGCUACCAACUCGGAUCAUCAAACAUACGA